rnacentral:miRNA from 1 species
GAGCUGCCCUCGGAUAGACUCU